rnacentral:rRNA from 1 species
UACGGAGGGAGCUAGCUGUUGGUCGAAUUACUGGGCGUAAAGCGCGCGUAGGCGGCUUUGUAAGUUAGAGGUGAAAGCCCGGGGCUCAACCCCGGAACUGCCUUUAAGACUGCAUCGCUUGAAUCCAGGAGAGGUGAGUGGAAUUCCGAGUGUAGAGGUGAAAUUCGUAGAUAUUCGGAAGAACACCAGUGGCGAAGGCGGCUCACUGGACUGGUAUUGACGCUGAGGUGCGAAAGCGUGGGGAGCAAACAGG